GCACCAUAGGCCUGAUCCAAAGUCCAUUGAAGUCAAUGGGAGUCUUUCCAUUGACUUCAGUAAGUUUUGGAUCAGGCCCUGUGGC
rnacentral:pre_miRNA from 1 species